AGUGGCAUUUUAAUUUCACGUUGUGUAAUGCAUGACUGUCUUUUUCAUUUGAACAAAAUCGCUUUGUAUUGCGUAAAUGGUUUUGCAACGUAUGAUAAACUCCUUGUUUUUGGGCUUAUUUUUUCUGACAGGAAGAAAAAAAAGAGGCUUUAUAUGAGAACGGAUCAAGCGUUCGAGAGUUGGGACAGCGAAAUGUGAGACGUACUUUCAUAUAUAUAUUUCUAAUAUUAUUUUUUCGUCUUGUAUUUUCCUUAAUUUUUCUCUAGAAAACACUGGAACGACACUGCUUAAAUUGAAGCACAGUGUGCGAAUGACCUGCUACGCUCGGAACUGUUACCACCAUUCGGGAAUAAAUCAGAUGAAAAAACAAAACUGUAAAUGCCUGUACGAUAUACGUCUGGUGCAUUGCAGGUAAGAAUGGAUUGUGUGUGGCACAUCUCCGCAUAAGGACUAGAGUAGAUCUAGGAACAUCAGACAAGAAGCCGCGUAUGUGAAACCCUGCGGAUAGCCCAUAUAUACGGAGGAACGGACACCGGUCAUGCCGUGCGCACUCUUCUGCAGGGCACACUUACAAAUGAAGCUGCACUGCAGUUCAGCUGGAAAGGGUCGCAGGGGAGGAAGCACGCCUUCGUGAAGCUCCCGGCCAUCACGAAUCUCAUUCUAACAUCUGUAAAGAGCACCUUCCCAGACGCUUCAGUGGCUGGAGUCACGAAACGCUGGUUAGUCGGAGCAGCUGACAGGGAUGGAGGCCGGAACGAGAGAAGGCGUCGUGACCCCGCUUCAAGCCCACCAUAAACUAGCGUUUGAAACUUUCGUGAACGUGUGGGUGUACAUAUCCAAGACAAAUACA